rnacentral:rRNA from 1 species
AAGGUACCCCGGGGAUAACAGGCUGAUCUUCCCCAAGAGUCCAUAUCGACGGGAUGGUUUGGCACCUCGAUGUCGGCUCGUCGCAUCCUGGGGCUGGAGUCGGUCCCAAGGGUUGGGCUGUUCGCCCAUUAAAGCGGUACGCGAGCUGGGUUUAGAACGUCGUGAGACAGUUCGGUCCCUAUCCGCUGUGCGCGUAGGAAUAUUGAGAAGGGCUGUCCCUAGUACGAGAGGACCGGGACGGACGAACCUCUGGUGUGCCAGUUGUUCUGCCAAGGGCAUGGCUGGUUGGCUACGUUCGGGAGGGAUAACCGCUGAAAGCAUCUAAGCGGGAAGCCUGCUUCGAGAUGAGUAUUCCCACCUCCUUGAGAGGGUAAGGCUCCCAGUAGACGACUGGGUUGAUAGGCCGGAUAUGGAAGCCCUGUAAGGGGUGGAGUUGACCGGUACUAAUAGGCCGAGGGCUUGUCCUCAGUUG